ensembl:rRNA 5S_rRNA 5S ribosomal RNA
AUCUAUGGCCAUACCACCCUGAACGCGCCUGAUCUCGUCUGAUCUCAGAAGCUAAGCAGGGUCGAGCCUGGUUAGUACUUGGAUGGGAGAAACCUGCAGACACUGACA